GGCUGCAUGGUCUAGUAGUAUGAUUCUCGCUUUGGGUAACCAAUCUGCGAGAGGUCCUGGGUUCAACUCCCAGUGCAGCCC